rnacentral:rRNA from 1 species
UGAGCAAUCUGCCCUUCUCAUCGGAAUAAGCGUUGGAAACGACGUCUAAUGCCGAAUACGACCUCCUUUCGCAUGAUCGGAGGUGGAAAGCUCCGGCGGAGAAGGAUGAGCUCGCGGCCUAUCAGCUAGUUGGUGUGGGUAAUGGCCCACCAAGGCGACGACGGGUAGCCGACCUGAGAGGGUGAUCGGCCACACUGGGACUGAGACACGGCCCAGACUCCGUAGGNG